AAGGUGUGGAAAUCAAAUGUAAGCUGCUAACUUAUUAUUUAAGUGGUUUAACCCAUUUACAUCUUUAA
rnacentral:tRNA from 1 species